UACGGAGGGUGCAAGCGUUGUCCGGAUUUAUUGGGUUUAAAGGGUGCGUAGGCGGCUUAUUAAGUCAGCGGUGAAAGACCAGGGCUCAACCCUGGAACUGCCAUUGAUACUGAUAAGCUUGAGUAAAGUUGAGGUGGGCGGAAUUGACGGUGUAGCGGUGAAAUGCUUAGAUAUCGUCAAGAACACCGAUUGCGUAGGCAGCUUACUAAGCUUUAACUGACGCUGAGGCACGAAAGUGUGGGGAUCAAACAGG
rnacentral:rRNA from 1 species